rnacentral:lncRNA from 1 species
AAUCAACAAAAAGUUGGGAAAAAUGAUGAGUUCAUUUGACAUUAAACUUGUUAUGCUGUCAAUGAACCUGCUCUUCGUCACCCUAUUAGAAGCAAAGGCGAAUGUAACUAUUAUAGGUAGCGUGGAGAGAGGUACUUCAAGUAUUCAUUGCUAUUCUGGAGAUGAUGAUCUGGGAACCCACAAUCUAGCCUUUGGCCAGUCUUUUAAAUUUAGUUUUGUGCCCCACUUUUGGGGCAAUACUAAGUUUUUUUGCACCUUUACCACUCAAUUCGGUUCAGGAAACUAUUGCGUUUUUGAUCGUCGAAUGGAAUAUGAAAGAUGUGGUCUUAAUUGUGCGUGGUACAUAGAGGAGACCGGGCCAUGUUUAGUGCAAAACUUGCAGCACAACUUGUGGUGUCAAUCAUGGAAGAAUCCAAAAAAAAUUGUUGCAUGAAAUACAUCAUAAUUGAGUAACUAAAUGCAAUUUAUCCUUAAGGCAUUUAUUAUCUUCUAAUUAGUGUUGGCCUGAAUAAUACUGAAAACUUAC